UUGGGGCUGGGUGGGGAGAGGG
rnacentral:miRNA from 1 species